UUAUUUCAACUAAGUUUGGAAGUAUAGUAAAAAGUUACCACCACUUGUUUCCUGGAGUACGGGUUUCCUGGAGUAAGGAUGGGAGUACCAUCAGUGGAAGAGGAAUAAAAAAUUAACCGAAAGCUCACCUAGGG
rnacentral:lncRNA from 1 species